rnacentral:rRNA from 1 species
UACGUAGGGUGCGAGCGUUGUCCGGAAUUCCUGGGCGUAAAGAGCUCGUAGGUGGUUUGUCGCGUUGUUCGUGAAAACUCACAGCUCAACUGUGGGCGUGCGGGCGAUACGGGCAGACUGGAGUACUGCAGGGGAGACUGGAAUUCCUGGUGUAGCGGUGGAAUGCGUAGAUAUCUGGAGGAACACCGGUGGCGAAGGCGGCAUCCUGGACCGACACUGACGCUGAGGAGCGAAAGCCAGGGGAGCAAACGGG